CUAAAGGAGAAAAGAACCACCCCCUCCUUCCAUCUGUGGAUCUCACCAGUACAGUGAGCCAGUCAGAAAUCACUGUAGCUAGAGCUCUCCAAGGAGAAUCCAAGUUUUCCCAAGCUGUGUCACAAAACAAAAGGUCCUGUUGAUGAAUCUCCUGAAAUCAGUUUAAGUGCCCCUCAGGAAUCUUGCCUUCUCCUCAGGCAGAGCGUGGGCUGAUGCUUCACUACUCUCCACACACCUACUUCCUGAAAUCUUGGCAAUUACCAACAGUGCAAAACCCAGUUUCUGACGUGGUUGACUCAGCAAGGGCUUGGCUCAAAACAAACACAUACACACAAGGAAUCAGAGCCUGGGAAGCAGUGACAAGAGACAGAUGAGAAGAGGUGGAAGAGAGCAGAAGAGAAAGAGCACUGUAGGAUUUACCGGCUGUUUCCAAACCAGCAGAAUCUUGCCUUGAGCUGCUGAUUGUGACACACAAGUACGUUGUCUACGGUGGUGGUCGUGGUUCUCAUCACUGAAUUCUGCUGUCUCCCCUCUGCCUGCAGAACUGAGCUGCUGCUCCACCACAGAGAGUUGUGGCUCUUCAUUGAAUUCGAGACUGGAGUCCAGUGGCCUCCUACACAGUGCAGUGAACAACUCCCUUCCUUUUGCUGCCUAGCAUGGAUACUUGGCGGAGAGGAUCCAUUAAAUCCACAACGUUCUUCAAGCGUCUUUCGUUCAGGAGGCAUAAAAAGCUGGGUAAUCAAGUCAUUAUUUUGAAUCAGACCAGCCAGACACUUGAGAACAAUGGACAGUACAAGAGGGAACCAUUAAGAGACCUGAAGGAUAAAGCAGAGUACCUGGUAUGUAAGAGUGAGCAAAAUCUAGCCCAGGCACAGGCACCUCCUAAGCCACCCCGGCUGUAUCUGGACAGUUCCAGCUGCCCCAACAUAAUUGACCACACGGAGUCUCACUCUACAGCCAUCUCCUUUUCCAGUGUCACUCCUCAGUACCAUAAGACAACACAAACACACAUGACUAACUCCAACACGGUCCAGGCUACAGACUGUGGGACCUCUGAAAUAGGCUCUGAUCCCUUCCUUUCCUUCAAAGUGGACUUGGGGCUAUCACUCCUUGAGGAUGUUCUGCAGACUCUCAGGAAACAGAAUCCAAGAGAUUACGCAGCUUGAAAGUGUUUAUCAUUUAAGUUAUUAAAUUAAUUAUCAGCAUUAGUAGUUUCCUUAGCCCUCACAGGAGAAGAGGAGACACUGGAGUGUCCCUACCCUGGACUGCCUGUCUCAUCGUCCUGUCUUGCCCACCAUAAGCUGUUCUUGUCCAGGCUCCCUUCCCAUUGAGUUGUCAGUACACCAGUUUGUGAGAGAGCCACAUGCCGGAAUCUAGUUUGAUGCAUUUCCAUUCUCUACACUGGACGGGGAAUUCCUCUCCACUGCUGACACUGUACCUCAUCCUGAUGAAAAAAAAGGACAUGUCUGGUAACAGAGACCUGUUAUUUUUGGAACCCCGCUGUGACUAUAAAAGGCAAGGGGGAAAAAGGGGGGCAUAGAAACAGGAUUCCUGAGUAACUGGACAGUUUGGAUGAGAUGGCAGCUCCAAUAUCUCAAAGCCAGGUGGAGCAGAGAAAAUGGAUGUGAUGAUUCAGGAUGUUUCUUUCCCCCUAACUCUGUGUGAUGGGCAUUCCCAUCUACCAUCUAACUGGAAAAAGGUGCAAAUGUUUCUAUGCUCCCCCUAUCAUCUCCGUCCCUGAGGUUAUCGCAGAUUAGAAGGCGAAAAAACGCACUCGCUAUGACAUGUUUUCCGAGCUCAUGCAGUCCUCCCACACUGAUAGGACACAGCUUAUUGCAUGGAGGCAUUCAGUGGCAGAGGCCAGGAAAGCAUUAAGUGAGGACGAAGAGCAGAGGCAGGAGGCGAUGCUGCGGCUAAUGGGGGAGCAAACGGACGUGAUGAAGUGUCUGUUGGAGCUGCAGGAAAGCCAACAAGAGCACAGACCCCAGCUGCAUCCAUUGUAUAACCGCCUGUCCUCCUCCCCAAGUUCCAUAUCCUCCUCACCCAGACGCCCAAGAACGUGGGGGGAGGCUCCAGGCACCCAGCCACUCCACUCCAGAAAAUGGCCCAAGCAACAGAAGGCUGUCAUUCAAACAGUUUUGAUUUGUAGUGUGGCUACAAUAAGCAAUGUGGUCUUGUCCUUCCCUCCUCCCGCACCCCACCCCACCCGGGCUACCUUGUCAGUUAUCUCACCUUUUUUUUUUUUUUU